UUCAUUUAGAGGAAGUAAAAGUCGUAACAAGGUUUCCGUAGGUGAACCUGCGGAAGGAUCAUUACCGAUUCUAAUACCUAACUCACUGUGAACUUGGUCGCUGCAAGCGUUCUCCUUUCGGGGUUGGCCGACUACUGGCCAUUAAAUCGGUUCUGGGGGGCUGUAACAGGCUCUUUAGACCCGGGCCCCGACUGGAGUUUUGCUCGCAGCGGUUUUUGAAACCUUUUUCAACCUUGCAACCUUGCAGACUGUACUGUCGGGCUUUCUAUCGAAAGCUUGUCUUGAUUCUGAAUCAUGGACAACUUUCAACGGUGGAUCUCUUGGCUCGUGGAUCGAUGAAGAACGCAGCAAAACGCGAUAUGUAGUGUGAAUUGCAGAAUUCAGUGAAUCAUCGARUCUUUGAACGCAAAUGGCGCUCUUGGGUAUUCCCAAGAGCAUGUCUGUCUCAGCGUCGUUUUCACCUCGAGCACGCCACGGCGUGGUGGUCAUGAGGCGUCUGGGAAGCCCUGGUAGCUCCCAGUCCCUUGAAAUGGAGUGGCCGGACAGUUGCGUGCCUUUCGGGUCGGUUCGCCCCGUUCUUCGCUCGCACGGCUGAUGGCGAGAUUCCUCGUAAUCUCCCUUGUCGUGUCGCAGCGUUCGGGACGAGCCGCACUCGGAUAUACGGCCGCGUGUGUCCGAAACAAGCCAGUUCUGGAAAACAACGCGUUUUUCUGUCUCUCUCGGAUGGAAAACAUCUUCGACCUGAGAUCAGGCAAGACUACCCGCUGAAUUUAAGCAUAUUAAUAAGCGGAGGAAAAGAAACCAA
rnacentral:rRNA from 1 species